CUUCCAGAUGGCACGAGGUGUCUGUCCACUGCCCUUUUUAUGUUGUACUACUAGUGAACAUGCGCAAAAAGCAGUGCAAUGUUAAAAGGGCAUUGGCCAGCAAUGCUCAGUCGACUGAAAUCC
rnacentral:precursor_RNA from 11 species